ACAUGUAACCGUUUCAUUUUUUUUUGGCAAAAAUUUAGCCGUUAGGUUCGCUCCCAAACAUCUCUAUCCUUUCCACUAAGUCUUUUUCCCACUGCCUCACAAACUUCUCUCCUAUCCUGUCUCCAAAAUUUCCACUUUCCAAACAGUAACAAACCUCUCUUAGCACUUGGUUCAGAUCCUGAGGUUGAAACUAGCUUACUGUUUACAAGUCUGGGGCCGGUACGAUGAGGGAGAGAGCGAAGCGUUUAGGGUUUUAGAGAGGCAUAGGGCGAAAUCUGAUUCAGAAGGGAAAUUCGAUGUCGGCUGAGUAUGCAAGGUCGACGAUGAAAGAUCAAGUUUAUAAGUUUGCCUUCCUCUUUAUUCUCGCUGGAGGAGAGCCAGAGUUCAGUUUCUAUUGACUUAGUAAGCUUUGUGUUGGCCUUUUAUUCCCGUGAACAAUUUGUAAGUUUUGGGCUCUAGAUUCAUGCUACCAACAAUUUCUCAAUACCAAUGCUGCUUGUGUUUGAUUUGAUGGGGAAAGAAUAAGUAGUUUGAUAUUUUACCUUUUGUGCCUGAAUAGUGGCACCUAGUUGUAAAUUUGUGUUUUCUCGUUA